GGAAGUAAAAAUCGUAACAAGGUUUCCGUAGGUGAACCUGCGGAAGGAUCAUUAUUGUAUAACCGAGGUGCGAGGGCUGUCGCUGACCCGAAAGGUCGUGCACGCCCGAGUGCCCUCACACACAUCCAUCUCACCCCUAUGUGCACCACCGCGUGGGUCCCCCUUUGGCUUGUUCGGAGGGGGGCUUACGUUUUCACACAAACUUUGUAUGCAGUGUAGAAUGUAUCUUUUGUUUUUGCGAUCACGCAAUCAAUACAACUUUCAACAACGGAUCUCUUGGCUCUC
rnacentral:misc_RNA from 1 species